rnacentral:tRNA from 1 species
GCGCAAGUAAAAGCGGGUAAAUAUAUGCUUUCAGCUUCCCAAGCUGGACGUCGUGGGUUCGAGUCCCAUCGCCCGCUCCA